rnacentral:rRNA from 1 species
UACGGGGGGGGGCAAGCGUUGUUCGGAAUUACUGGGCGUAAAGGCUCGUAGGUGGCCAACUAAGUCAGACGUGAAAUCCCUCGGCUUAACCGGGGAACUGCGUCUGAUACUGGAUGGCUUGAGUUCGGGAGAGGGAUGCGGAAUUCCAGGUGUAGCGGUGAAAUGCGUAGAUAUCUGGAGGAACACCGGUGGCGAAGGCGGCAUCCUGGACCUGAUCUGACACUGAGGAGCGAAAGCGUGGGGGAGCGAUCCGGG